rnacentral:lncRNA from 1 species
AGACGCCGCCUGCCUUCUGCCACCGCAGGCUCCCGUGACCAUCCGAGUGGGAAAGCCUCAGCCUGAAGCACCAGGUGGAGCCGUCCUCAGUCCUGGUUCUCAAAAACUCUGUACGGCAACUGAAUGUGUGCUUUUUAGUUACUGCUUUAUCUACGAGGACUUUGUUAAAAGCCUCAGGAACUGUUGUGAAGACACUGCGCUCAUCCUUCCACGUGGGGGCGCUGUCGUACAGCAGCACAGCCUAUGAAUCCCUCCUCUUAUGGCAAAGACGAAACACUUCCAUCCGGACCCCUCAAGCUGGGACUCAGCUCCACACAUCAUCAAGUUGUCACUGGACACUUGAACCUCAUUUUGCAGCACAGUUCCUAACAGAACCAGGGAAGUCUUCAGGCCGCUGAAGAUGAUAGCAAGUCCUUGUAGCAUCCAACGGGGUGACUAUCAGAAGCCACCAAAUCUCCUUGUGUCCAACACAAUCACAAAGCCCGUGAGGAUGGCCACCAGCAAAGUGGUGUCGACAUGCAAAACAUCAGAACCCUUAAUGAAAAUUUAAAGCCUGGCUGAAAUGAGAGCUAACAAUCAGAAAUGAUCAGGAAACAACUCCAACCACAGUGAGCAAGAUAAAGCGAGGUGACCCCUGUGAAACGUCAUUGGAGCCCUCCAAAGGGUCCACAACCCACAGGUUGAGGACCACUGUUCUAGAGGAAGCAACUGGAAAGAAGGACUCUUGGGAACAUGAGAGCAUGGAGCCUUGCAAAGGGGGUUGUUACAUAGCAAAGAAUAACUAAGACAUGCCUGUCCUAGCCUGCUUCUUUGGUUGCUCCAAUAAAAUUUAGACCAGAACUAA